CUUUGUUCUGUGUUGGAUUUUAUAACUUUAUAUUUACAAUGGCAUCGUCUUUUAAUUUUUAGACAGAGGAUGUUAAGUUGAGAAGAGAUGUUUUGGCCGAGUUAAGGAAAAAACGACUUACACCUCAAAAUAUUGGCAGUCCGUACAAUCAACCUGAACUGCCUCUCGAACCAGAUGAUGAUUCAGAUGAACCAGAUGGUAUAUAUUCCUUUAAAAGAAGGCCUGGUUGUCGAUACCUUGCGCCUCGACUCGAAGGUAGUUGGCCUUGGGAAUGUCCCGGACAUCCGCGCUACAGAUACACAUUGACGUCAUUAUCUAGACCUUCAAGAUUGCUCGGUUAUGCAAGAAGACGUUUAGGAAGAGGGGGAAGGGUGCUGAUCGAUCGUACAAGUUCCUCCCUUGAUGAUCGUUUAGAAGAACUUGGAUCAUUUCUAGAUUCAUCAGUAUCGUUGCGAAAUAGUUUUUACGAAUCAGAUCGUUAUAAUGAUGAACAGAAACCUUCUAGCUGGAGACACUACCGACCUCGAAAACCUAGAUUUAUGCAAUCUUCAAUCGAUAUAACUUUGGCUCAUGAUGAUUCCAUUCUUGAUGAAUGCGUGAAAGAUGUUGCAAUAGAAAAACAAGAACAUAACGAUAUUCAGGACUAUCGACCUAGUCGUAAAAUUAGACGAACAUUUUCAACCCAACCUACUUCAACAUUCACACUCAAUUCUUCUUUAUCCAACGGUGUUCACCAAAACUCCGAUUGUACAGAUGAUAUUUCGCCCGUUGAACGAGACAAGAAUGAUGUAAUCACUAAUGGACCUACGGUUAGCA